CCUACGGGAGACUGCAGUGGGGAAUAUUGGACAAUGGGCGAAAGCCUGAUCCAGCCAUGCCGCGUGUGUGAAGAAGGCCUUCGGGUUGUAAAGCACUUUCAGUGGGGAAGAAAGCCUUGGGGCUAAUACCCUCGAGGAAGGACAUCACCCACAGAAGAAGCACCGGCUAACUCCGUGCCAGCAGCCGCGGUAAUACGGAGGGUGCGAGCGUUAAUCGGAAUUACUGGGCGUAAAGCGCGCGUAGGCGGUCUGAUAAGCCGGUUGUGAAAGCCCCGGGCUCAACCUGGGAACGGCAUCCGGAACUGUCAGGCUAGAGUGCAGGAGAGGAAGGUAGAAUUCCCGGUGUAGCGGUGAAAUGCGUAGAGAUCGGGAGGAAUACCAGUGGCGAAGGCGGCCUUCUGGACUGACACUGACGCUGAGGUGCGAAAGCGUGGGUAGCAAACAGGAUUAGAUACCCCAGUAGUC
rnacentral:rRNA from 1 species